rnacentral:rRNA from 1 species
UCUCCUACGGGGCGCAGCAGUGGGGAAUAUUGGGCAAUGGGCGCAAGCCUGACCCAGCAACGCCGCGUGAAGGAAGAAGGCUUUCGGGUUGUAAACUUCUUUUGACAGGGAAGAGCAGAAGACGGUACCUGAUGAAUAAGCCACGGCUAACUACGUGCCAGCAGCCGCGGUAAUACGUAGGUGGCAAGCGUUAUCCGGAUUUACUGGGUGUAAAGGGCGUGUAGGCGGGAGUGCAAGUCAGAUGUGAAAACUAUGGGCUCAACCCAUAGCCUGCAUUUGAAACUGUACUUCUUGAGUGCUGGAGG